rfam:Aedes aegypti strain Liverpool supercont1.336 genomic scaffold, whole genome shotgun sequence.
GGCUCGGUAGCUUAGUUGGUAAAGCGCUCGUCUAGCAUACAAGAGUCCUGGGUCCAAAUCCCAGCCGAGCAC